GUAACGGCGAGUGAAGCGGCAACAGCUCAAAUUUGAAAUCUGGCCCUUUCGGGUCCGAGUUGUAAUUUGUAGAGGAUGCUUUUGGCAAGGCGCCGCCCGAGUUCCCUGGAACGGGACGCCACAGAGGGUGAGAGCCCCGUCUGGCUGGCCGCCGAGCCUCUGUAAAGCUCCUUCGACGAGUCGAGUAGUUUGGGAAUGCUGCUCAAAAUGGGAGGUAUAUGUCUUCUAAAGCUAAAUAUUGGCCAGAGACCGAUAGCGCACAAGUAGAGUGAUCGAAAGAUGAAAAGCACCUUGAAAAGAGGGUUAAAUAGUACGUGAAAUUGUUGAAAGGGAAGCGCUUGUGACCAGACUUGGGCGCGGCGGAUCAUCCGGGGUUCUCCCCGGUGCACUUCGCCGCGUCCAGGCCAGCAUCAGUUCGUCGCGGGGGAAAAAGGCUUCGGGAACGUGGCUCCCCUGGGAGUGUUAUAGCCCGUUGCGUAAUACCCUGCGGUGGACUGAGGACCGCGCAUCUGCAAGGAUGCUGGCGUAAUGGUCACCAGCGACCCGUCUUGAAACACGGACCAAGGAGUCGUCUUCGUAUGCGAGUGUUCGGGUGUCAAACCCCUACGCGUAAUGAAAGUGAACGCAGGUGAGAGCUUCGGCGCAUCAUCGACCGAUCCUGAUGUUCUCGGAUGGAUUUGAGUAAGAGCAUACGGGGCCGGACCCGAAAGAAGGUGAACUAUGCCUGUAUAGGGUGAAGCCAGAGGAAACUCUGGUGGAGGCUCGCAGCGGUUCUGACGUGCAAAUCGAUCGUCAAAUAUGGGCAUGGGGGGCGAAAGACUAAUCGAACCUUCUAGUAGCUGGUUUCCGCCGAAGU
rnacentral:rRNA from 1 species